rnacentral:tRNA from 1 species
UAAUAUGAAACAAAUAAUUGUAUUUUAAUUUCGACUUAAAAAUUUGGAAUCUAAAUCUUUCCCAUAUUUU